AUGUCCAUACUUUUGUCCCCAGUAGCCACCCAUAGGAAAGCCCUAGAGGACGGAGGACCGGUAUGUGGUAUGGUGAUACAGGAAUCCCUUCCAGAGAACAAGAAGAAGUCUUGUGGGGCGCUGUUGUCUGUCACAUCUGCUGUGCUUUUACCUCCCAUCUCCUCCCUCAUUCAAAGUGAGAGCCCAGCCCAGCUGCUGUGCCUCUUUCCUUCCGAUCUGGGGGAUCUGUACCCAGGGUCAGUGCAGUCACGUUCCUGCAAGACUGAUGACAGAUCUAAUUGGGAGGUGUGCCAUUAAUAGCCACACUUUGAAUAAAUAAGAACUGCAUUUUGUAUCACGGCGACUUUUUUUUUUUUUUUUUUUUUUUUUUGAGAUAAAGUCUCACUAUGAAGUUCGAGCUGGCCUUGGACUCACUAUGGCCUCACACCUGUGGCAAUCCUCCUGCCUCAGCCUCCUGAGUGCUGGGAUUAUAGGCGUGCGCCCCCACACCUGGCUGUGCAUCAUGGUGAGAUCAAGCUACCUGAGUCUGCAGAUGAGGAAAUCGCUGCAUAUUAAUAUCUUAAAUCAGGAAGGCA
rnacentral:lncRNA from 1 species